rnacentral:rRNA from 1 species
UGAGCAAUCUGCCCUUCUCAUCGGAAUAAGCGUUGGAAACGACGUCUAAUGCCGAAUACGACCUCCUUUCGCAUGAUCGGAGGUGGAAAGCCCGCGNGAGAGUGAGCUCGCGGCCUAUCAGCUAGUUGGUGUGGGUAAUGGCCCACCAAGGCGACGACGGGUAGCCGGCCUGAGAGGGUGACCGGCCACACUGGGACUGAGACACGGCCCAGACUCCUACGGGAGGCAGCG